rnacentral:rRNA from 1 species
GAUCAUGGCUCAGGAUGAACGCUAGCUACAGGCUUAACACAUGCAAGUCGAGGGGAAACGACAUCGAAAGCUUGCUUUUGAUGGGCGUCGACCGGCGCACGGGUGAGUAACACGUAUCCAACCUUCCCGUUACUCUGGAAUAGCCUUUCGAAAGAAAGAUUAAUACCGGAUAGUAUCGAGAGAUUGCAUGAUUACCCGAUUAAAGAUUCAUCGGUAACGGAUGGGGAUGCGUUCCAUUAGGCAG